CACGUAGGGCGCAAGCGUUGUCCGGAAUUAUUGGGCGUAAAGAGCUCGUAGGCGGUCUGUUGCGUCCGCUGUGAAAACUCGGGGCUUAACCCCGAGCCUGCAGUGGAUACGGGCAGACUAGAGGUAGGUAGGGGAGAAUGGAAUUCCCGGUGUAGCGGUGAAAUGCGCAGAUAUCGGGAGGAACACCGGUGGCGAAGGCGGCCAACUGGACAGAUACUGACGCUGAGACACGAAAGCGUGGGGAGCAAACAGG
rnacentral:rRNA from 1 species